rnacentral:rRNA from 1 species
UACGUAGGGCGCAAGCGUUAUCCGGAAUUAUUGGGCGUAAAGAGCUCGUAGGCGGUUUGUCGCGUCUGCCGUGAAAGUCCGGGGCUCAACUCCGGAUCUGCGGUGGGUACGGGCAGACUAGAGUGAUGUAGGGGAGACUGGAAUUCCUGGUGUAGCGGUGAAAUGCGCAGAUAUCUGGAGGAACACCGGUGGCGAAGGCGGCAUCCUGGACCAAUAUUGACGCUGAGGAGCGAAAGCCAGGGGA